rnacentral:rRNA from 1 species
CAGCAGCCACGGUAAUACGUAGGGUGCAAGCGUUAAUCGGAAUUACUGGGCGUAAAGCGUGCGCAGGCGGUUAUAUAAGACAGAUGUGAAAUCCCCGGGCUCAACCUGGGAACUGCAUUUGUGACUGUAUAGCUAGAGUACGGCAGAGGGGGGUGGAAUUCCGCGUGUAGCAGUGAAAUGCGUAGAUAUGCGUAGGAACACCGAUGGCGAAGGCAAUCCCCUGGGCCUGUACUGACGCUCAUGCACGAAAGCGUGGGGAGCAAACAGGAUUAGAUACCCCAGUAGUCCCUGUCUCUUAUAC